GGGGCGCCGGGGCGCCGGCCGGGUCGGGGGAGGCUACGCGGGGCGCUUCGCGGCGCGCCCUGAGCCUCCCGCUCUCCCUCCGCCCUGCAGACAGACCCCGGCUGCCCGACAACUACACGCAGGACACGUGGCGGAAGCUGCACGAGGCGGUGCGGGCCGUGCAGAGCAGCACCUCCAUCAGGUACAACCUCGAGGAGCUCUACCAGGCUGUGGAAAAUCUCUGUUCUCACAAAGUCUCCCCAAUGCUCUACAAGCAACUGCGUCAGGCCUGUGAAGACCACGUCCAGGCACAGAUCCUUCCGUUUAGAGAAGACUCACUAGAUAGUGUUUUAUUUUUAAAGAAGAUUAACACGUGCUGGCAGGACCACUGCAGACAAAUGAUCAUGAUCAGAAGCAUCUUCCUGUUCUUGGACCGCACCUAUGUGCUGCAGAACUCCACGCUGCCCUCCAUCUGGGAUAUGGGAUUAGAACUGUUUAGAACCCAUAUUAUUAGUGAUAAAAUGGUUCAGAGUAAAACCAUUGAUGGAAUCCUACUGCUGAUCGAGCGCGAGAGGAGCGGCGAGGCCGUGGACCGGAGCCUGUUGCGGAGCCUGCUGGGCAUGCUGUCUGACCUGCAGGUGUAUAAAGAUUCAUUUGAACUGAAAUUUUUGGAAGAGACUAAUUGCUUAUAUGCUGCCGAAGGCCAAAGGUUAAUGCAGGAAAGAGAGGUUCCAGAAUAUCUUAACCAUGUAAGUAAACGCUUAGAGGAAGAGGGAGACAGAGUAAUCACUUACUUGGACCACAGCACACA
rnacentral:sRNA from 1 species